GCCAGCAAUAAUCACAUGAAAAAAUGUUCUAAAUCACUCUUGAUUAGAGAAAUGCAAAUUAAAACAACUCUGAGGUACCACCUCACACCUACCAGAUUAGCCAAUGAGUCAGUAAAGGAAAGUGGUCAAUGUCAGAGGGAAUGUGGCAAAAUUGGGACACUAAUACAAUGUUGAUGUAGUUGAGAACUGAUCCAACUAUUCUGGAGGACAAUUUGGAAUUAUACCCAAAGGGUUAUAAAACUAUCUUACCCUUUGAUCUGAUAAUACCACUACUGGGUCUUUAUCCCAAAGAGAUAAUUAAAAAUGGGAAAGGACCUACUUGUACAAAAAUAUUUAUAGCAGCCCUUUUUGUGGUGGCAAAGAAUUGGAAAUUAAGGGGAUCUUCAUCAAUUAGGGAAUGACCAAACAAAUUGUGGUAUACAAUGGUGAUGGAAUAGUAUUGUGCUAUAAGAAAUGAUAAGCAAGAUGAUUUCAGAAAAAGCUAGAAAGAUCUGUGGGAACUGAUACAGAGUGAAAUAAUCAGAACUGUAAGAAUAUUGUACACAGUAACAGUAAUACUGGAUGAUGAUUAUCUGUGAAAACUCAGCUACUCUCAGCAAUGCAAUGAUCUGGUACAAUUUUGAAAGACUUAUAAUGGGAAAUGCUAUCCACCUCCAGAGAAAGAGCUGUCUUUCGCAUCUGUGACUCUUUCAUUAUUUUAUUGUCUGGAUUUAAGAAAAGUCAGCUGAGUGGCAGUGUGAAUAGAAGACUGGGCAUAGAGUCAAGAAGAUCUAAAUUCAAAUCCAGCCUCAGAUAUCUACUAGCUCUUCAAUUUUGGACAAGUCCCUUAAUUCCUAUUUGCUUCAGCUUCUCAUCUGUAAAAUGGGAAUACACUGGAGAAGGAAAUGAGAAACCACUCCAAUAUCUUUGCCAACACUAUCCCAGAGUCCAUGGGGUCACAGAGAGUCAAAUACAACUGAACAACAGAAAUAAGACUUAACGAAGUGAUAAAGAAGUGUUAGCAAUGAAAAUCAAUCUUUAAAAAGUGUCACUCUUUUCAGAAACACAAUUAAGUAUUUACCAGAACACCUCUGGAUUUAAUAAGGAAAUGAAUAUUUCCUAUAAAUUCUGAAGUAUGAUAGGAGUUGGGGUUAGUAAACAAGCAAGUACAAUUUGUAUUAUUAUUUUUCAAAUAAAGAAAAAUACUAGACCCA
rnacentral:lncRNA from 1 species